rnacentral:rRNA from 1 species
UACGUAGGUGGCAAGCGUUGUCCGGAUUUAUUGGGUUUAAAGGGUGCGUAGGCGGCUUUGUAAGUCAGUGGUGAAAUACGGUAGCUUAACUAUCGAGGUGCCAUUGAUACUGCAGAGCUUGAGUACAGAUGAGGUAGGCGGAAUUGACGGUGUAGCGGUGAAAUGCUUAGAUAUCGUCAAGAACACCUAUAGCGAAGGCAGCUUACUAGGCUGUAACUGACGCUGAGGCACGAAAGUGUGGGGAGCAAACAGG